CACGACUACACAUAUACUUGUGAACAGGUGGACUUACAUACGCAUGUAACAGAAGAUUAACGGUUAACUGACACAUUAACAAGAAUGUCUUCCAGAAACAAGACUAACUGGCUGACCAUAAAAAUGAUAAUUUUACUUAUCUUCAUGACUGAUGCAGCCACAGAAGAUCUCAGUUCAACUUCAUCUGUUACCUCUGGGUCCACUACCGCUUCACCUGUUUCUGUCACCUCUGCCACAGCAACAGCUACCACUUCACCUGUUUCUGUCACCUCUGCC